rnacentral:rRNA from 1 species
GCUUGCUAUUGUCACGAAGAGCGGCGAACGGGUGAGUAACGCGUGGGAAAUCUGCCGAGCAGCCGGGGGACAACGUUUGGAAACGAACGCUAAUACCGCAUAACAAUGAGAAUCGCAUGAUUCUUAUUUAAAAGAAGCAAUCGCCUUCACUUACUCGAUGAUCCCGCGUUGUAUUAGCUAGUUGGUAGUGUAAAGGACUACCAAGGCGAUGAUACAUAGCCGACCUGAGAGGGUGAUCGGCCACACUGGGACUGAGACACGGCCCAGACUCCUACGGGAGGCAGCAGUAGGGAAUCUCUCGGCAAUGGGGGCAACCCUGACCGAGCAACGUCGAGGGAGUGAAGAAGGUUUUCCGAUCGUCAAACUCUGUUGUUAUAGAAGAACGUUACAUUGCGUGGAAAAUUACUUAAGUGACUCGUUUCUAACCCUGAAAGGGAACGGUUAACUACUUGCCAGCUGCCGGCGGUAAUACGUAAUGUUCCACGCGUGGCCCGGAAUCA